UACCAUCCAGGUCAUCCUACCUGCUGCACUGGAAAAAUCUACCACACAUCCCUGGGUGCAUUACAAUGAACCUUUCCCUGUGGGAAUAAAACACGAUAAAAUAAACAA